rnacentral:rRNA from 1 species
AUUGAACGCUGGCGGCAGGCCUAACACAUGCAAGUCGAGCGGAUGAAGGGAGCUUGCUCCUGGAUUCAGCGGCGGACGGGUGAGUAAUGCCUAGGAAUCUGCCUGGGAGUGGGGGAUAACGUCCGGAAACGGGCGCUAAUACCGCAUACGUCCUGAGGGAGAAAGUGGGGGAUCUUCGGACCUCACGCUAUCAGAUGAGCCUAGGUCGGAUUAGCUAGUUGGUGGGGUAAAGGCCUACCAAGGCGACGAUCCGUAACUGGUCUGAGAGGAUGAUCAGUCACACUGGAACUGAGACACGGUCCAGACUCCUACGGGAGGCAGCAGUGGGGAAUAUUGGACAAAGGGCGAAAGCCUGAUCCAGCCAUGCCGCGUGUGUGAAGAAGGUCUUCGGAUUGUAAAGCACUUUAAGUUGGGAGGAAGGGCAGUAAGUUAAUACCUUGCUGUUUUGACGUUACCAACAGAAUAAGCACCGGCUAACUUCGUG